CCGACCACUCACUGGCUACAACUGACAGGCAGAUCAAGGACUGACGACAAAUCCAACAACAGUUCAAAACCCUCUGUUAUUGGUGUAGUGCAGUAUGAGGUCAUAAGUGAAGUGUGGUGUAGUAUGUGGGAACAGACCACGAGCGUGAGAAGUGAAUCUUCUCACACUACACAACGGUGACCGCUGAUGUAUGUGAAGGCCAAUGGAAAAGUGACAGAACCUUAAGCAAGAUUUAGCACCCAGCAUGUUACUUCAGCCUCAUCAGUAACAGAUUAUGUACAGUACUUGAAAGCCAACAUAGAGGAAGUGACAGAACCAACCUUGAGCAGGAUUAACACAUGAUAAUGCAGCCUCCCCAG